CUGUGAGACCACUUUCUCAUCACUGAAAAAUACUGGUGCACAUGUCGAGGCAAUUGCCAAACCUUCAGUUCUCCAAACCUCUGAUUCAGAACCUUCAUCCCUAUCACGAACACACAAAAGUCCAGAGCUUUCAUUCACUGCACCAGUCCCUUUUAACAGCCAGGAAAAGUGUUUUAUGCACACAGGCACUGAAUGCAAUUCCAUAUUGCCGUCAUCAACAAAGCUCUUGGCAUCCAUGUCCCGCCUCCCGUCCUGCGAGGCAGAGGCGAUCGUCAGAGCGGAUUCAAAAUGUAGCGCUGCCCCCCCUCAGCCGUGCCCAGAGGACCCCAGCCUGGCUCACUCGCAGCCAGCUGCUGCAGCCCUGUUGCUGCCUCCUUCUCCACAGUGCUGCAAAUCAGCAGCCCUACAGCAGAGGCUCGAGACUGUGGAGGCCAGCCUGGCAGCCAACAAGGACAGGAUCACUACUCUGCUUAACAUUAUCCAUGACCUGGAGACCUGCCACACUCCCACCAGCGGGUUGUGACUGCCUCCGAGGUCAUGUUUCAGAAUAACCAGCUCCUAAUAACCAACUGAUGUCUGACAUAAUGCAUGUUAUACGGCCCAUCGCUGCCAACAUCAGUCUGGAAGAAUAUCACACACACAGGAUGAGUGUCGGCAAUGCUUCAACACUGGACAGGACCUCAACAACUGCUUAACCUGCCAGAAGACUGCUUGUAUUGUGUACAGUGUGGAGUAUGACUUCAGGCAGCAGGAAAGACGCUUCUUGGAAGUUCUGAACCUUUCGACAAAAGGAAAUAAUGCUUUCAACGCGCACUCAUCCCCUCCCCUGAACUUCAGCCUGCUCAGAAAUGUCAUCAUUAAGAACUUAACAAAGUCAAAGGUGAGAAGCAAAAAGCUUUGCAAGACCCUGUUCAAAUGGCUGCCCAGGAAAAUCCAGCAAGUGUAGACCUCUCCACAAAACCUGUGUGCUGUUUUAUAGCCAUAAGCCUGUGUUUCAAGUGACCAGCAGAAGCCUUUGCAGAGGACUUCUACUCCUCCUUUCCUACCCAUAGAAUAAGGUGACUCUGGAUUAGGCUCUUACCCAGUAGAAUUCCACUCUCCUGCACAUUGUCAAAGCUUAUAAACAUGAUUUUGUACCCCUUAUCUUUGUGACCUUCAUCUAGUAUCAUCCAUAUUUCACUUCUGAAGGUUAAUGUGAUUUUGUUGUCAAUAUGCCUGCUGCAAACCCCAGCCACACAUUUCUGUAUCUAAUUUUACAUAAAAAAUGCGGUUAUUCACAUUUAUGAUUAAUGCACUAUAAGUUCUAUGUCACAUUUCCCUUUUAUCUGUCCCUCUUGCCUGCUUUUUAAGAUUAAAUGUGCAGCAUAGAACAAGUUUUUCAAUGGAAUCAUUUUGAAAUGUAAAAAUA